UUGAAAGGGAAACGAUUGAAGUCAGUCGUAUCGCCGAGAAAUCAACUUUUCGAGUGCGAAUUUGUGGGCGUGCGUGACCUGUUAAACCCUCCCUGCUUGCAAUUAGUCCUUUUUGGGUGUACUUUUUCGUAUGGUAGCCCACCGUCAGUUUCGAUCACCAUAAAAUGAUUGGAGGAAUGUAGCUUCGAUCUCGUAUUGAAGUGUCAUAGCCUUUGGUAGAUGUGGUGAUCGAACCUGAGGAUUCCAACGAAUACCCCUGGGCUAUCCCGUCGGACCUCUGGAAGUGCUUGGGCCCGAAACCCCCCCUGGGUACCUAAGACGACGAUCAAAAGGUUAGAACGUGAUCCCCUUCGUUAAGGAUGUUGACGUA
rnacentral:rRNA from 1 species